UCCAGUCUGCCUUCUUGGAAUCCUGGCACAUCACAGCAGGAUCCUGAUAAACGUGGCGGAGAACCAAGCACAGAAGAGCUUUGCAGGGUCGCUCAGCAAGUCCGAAGUUUACCACUGGUGUGUAAACUUGGGAAAGCCCUUCGUCUCAAUAACGACAUCAUGGUCGACUGCAUCGCUCAACAUAGUUUAUCGGUAUUCCAUGUCAUAGCACGGCAGCUCCUCCUUAAGUGGCUGGGUUGUUUAAAUAAAGACGAAUAGGAAGAUUAGUUAAGCUCAUGGCUAAUCGAGUACAACAUCUCCAAUGAGAGAACAGGGAGUGGCUCUUCCAAGAUUAGUGCUGCACAACGUGUAGAAGUGAGUCAACAAAGUAAACAUGUUCGCUUGACCGAGAGCAUGAAGAGGAUACCAAAUCUCUGCAUACUAGAAAUUAGCGGCACCCGUCGACCAUUACCCA